rnacentral:rRNA from 1 species
CGGGGUGGAGUAACGCGUGGGUAACCUACUCUGUACACACGGAUAACAUACCGAAAGGUAUGCUAAUACAGGAUAAUAUAUUUGAGAGGCAUCUCUUGAAUAUCAAAGGUGAGCCAGUACAGGAUGGACCCGCGUCUGAUUAGCUAGUUGGUAAGGUAACGGCUUACCAAGGCGACGAUCAGUAGCCGACCUGAGAGGGUGAUCGGCCACAUUGGAACUGAGACACGGUCCAA